rnacentral:rRNA from 1 species
UACGUAGGCAGCGAGCGUUGUUCGGAGUUACUGGGCGUAAAGCGUGCGUAGGCGGUUGUCUAAGUUUGGUGUGAAAUCUCCCGCUUAACUGGGAGGGUGCGCCGAAAACUGGGUGACUGGAGUGUCGGAGAGGUAAGCGGAAUUCCUGGUGUAGCGGUGAAAUGCGUAGAUAUCUGGAGGAACAUCGGUGGCGAAGGCGGCAUCCUGGACCGAUAUUGACGCUGAGGCGCGAAAGCCAGGGGAGCAAACGGG